CAAUGAAUAAAAAAUUUGAAAUAAAUUAGGAUUAUGUAUUGAAUUUUUAAGAAAUAAAUGGAAUAUUAGAAAUCUACAUAUUUCUUCUUCGCUGUGUGAAGAAUAUUUUGUUAAAAUGUCAAGCCAUAUCGUGCUGAGUCGUUUCCCUCCAAUAAAAUAAAUGGGAGGAACAUACGUGGUUUGCAAGUUUCGCCGGUGAAAUUCGAAGUGCCCGCGCUGCUCUUUGAAUUUCGCCUCCCGCCGCGGCGCCGGCAUUGCGCAUGUGCAACGAUUUCGCGCGCGAAGGCUCUGGAAGCGUCGUCGGCGUCUAGAAGAAGUUUGUUUACGUGCAACAAGUCGCUUACCUAUCUCAUUAGUGCCAUGUUAGUGCAAGUUAGUGCCAAGUGCGUCUUGAAGACCGGCUGCCGCUGAGAAUUAAAGCUCUUCAUUAUGACAGAAAAAAAAUUCGCUAUCGUAAAGUUUCCUGAAGAAGAUGAUGCAGUAGAUAUCAUUCCCACAGCCUGGCUUCAUGAUGAUGAACUUUAUUGCUAUUAUCCGAGGGUGAAACCAAUGAGGAAAGAAACAAUCUUGUCAGAAGAUGUAUUGAAGCGGAUGAAGAAUCAUGGGAUGUAAUCCCUACAGUAGUUCUGGCAAAAUUUGUGAAGUAUGAGAACGCUCGAAAAAAACUUCCGAUGGCGGAAGUUCAGUCCAAUCUAGACGAUGAUGAUGAACACCCACCUAAGAGAGCCAGAAAGAAACGGAAGCUUCCUGGGGAGAGUAGUGACGAUGAAUAUUGCAAUAAUGAUGAUUCUUGUGAUGAUGAUAUGGAACCUCAGGCUUCAAAGUUGAAUCAAAAGCAAGUAGCCAAGAAUGCUCGAAUGCCUCGAAGUAGACAUGCAUAUCCAUCCAAGAAAAUGAUCUACCAGAGUUUUCCAGAACCACCAACUGUUGUGCCUGGACUAAAAAAGAACCCAGCCAAUGAUAGAGAACAGAAUGAAGCUCAACCACAUAUUGAGAAAGAAAACACCAGCGAGGACCACUCGUCAUCAGAAAGGUCAGCAUCCAUCAAUAGAAGUGAGCCAUCUUGGCAGGAUAUUGAGUCAAAGUUCCAGUGGUUGACAACGUCUUUGAGUGACUUAAUUGAUGCAUUUAAAGGCUUAAAAACCAUGGUCUCUGCUAUCGAUACAAAAAUAGACAAGAUCUGCAUGAACUCAGAGGAGGAACACAAAAUACAGACAGCUGUUGCUGUCUCAAUUCCCGCCAAAAGCUUUCCUGAAUUUGAAGUGCUUAACAACGCUGUUCAGUCAAGAAACAACUCUGAAAGCAGUCGCCGAGACCAAAGUCUCAAAUACCAUUCAAAACAUGCUGCAAAAGAUUUUUACUGA
rnacentral:lncRNA from 1 species